AUGAUGAGCAUCAUCUGCAUCAAUACGUCAAAGGGCUUGAGCGUGAAGAAAAGAAGUAACCAGGGUGUCCAAACUAAAGAUGGAGGGAUCAUCUUUGACAAAAAGAAGAAAAGAGAAGGGGCAAAAUGGAAAUGUGUGAAGAUCAGAUCGAGAGGGGUAAAACCCCUAUUGACCCCUUUUGGACCUGGCCCUUCUCCUCUUCUUCCACGCAAACUCCUCCAACCCCGUCCGCCGCCACGGCCAGUCAGACGUGGUGGCACGCCACCACCACAUCACCAUCAGGAGCUCCUCGCUGCUCCAUCGAUGAGCCCCUUGCUGCACCUCGUCUUCCACCUCCUUACGCCACCGAUCUGA
rnacentral:rRNA from 1 species